rnacentral:rRNA from 1 species
AGUGAACGCUGGCGGUAGGCCUAACACAUGCAAGUCGAACGGCAGCACAGUAAGAGCUUGCUCUUACGGGUGGCGAGUGGCGGACGGGUGAGGAAUACAUCGGAAUCUACUUUUUCGUGGGGGAUAACGUAGGGAAACUUACGCUAAUACCGCAUACGACCUACGGGUGAAAGCAGGGGAUCUUCGGACCUUGCGCGAUUGAAUGAGCCGAUGUCGGAUUAGCUAGUUGGCGGGGUAAAGGCCCACCAAGGCGACGAUCCGUAGCUGGUCUGAGAGGAUGAACAGGCACAACUGAAAUGAGAAAAGGGCCAGACUCCUAAGGGAAGCAAGAGUGGGGGAUAUUGGACAAUGGGGGCAAGGCUGAUCCAGCCAUACCGGGUGGGUGAAGAAGGGCUUCGGGUUGGAAAGCCCUUUUGUUGGGAAAGAAAAGCAGCAGGUUAAAAACCCGCUGUUCUGACGGUACCCAAAGGAUAAGCAACGGCUAACUUCGUU